rnacentral:rRNA from 1 species
AACGAACGCUGGUGGUAUGCCUAAUACAUGCAAGUCGAACGAGAAAGCACUUCGGUGUGAGUACAGUGGCGCACGGGUGAGUAACACGUAGGUGAUCUGCCUUUUAGUGGGGGAUAACAUCGGGAAACCGUUGCUAAUACCGCAUAUGAUAAGUGACAUUGGAAAAACUUAUUAAAGGGGGCUUCGGCUCUCGCUAGAAGAGGAGCCUGCGGAACAUUAGUUUGAUGGUGGGGUAACGGCCUACCAUGGCUAUGAUGUUUAGCUGGUCUGAGAGGAUGAUCAGUCACACUGGAACUGAGACACGGUCCAG